rnacentral:rRNA from 1 species
CAGUAGCCACGGUAAUACGUAGGUGGCAAGCGUUGUCCGGAAUUAUUGGGCGUAAAGGGCUCGCAGGCGGUUUCUUAAGUCUGAUGUGAAGGCCCCCGGCUCAACCGGGGAGGGUCAUUGGAAACUGGGAAACUUGAGUGCGGAAGAGGAGAGUGGAAUUCCACGUGUAGCGGUGAAAUGCGUAGAGAUGUGGAGGAACACCAGUGGCGAAGGCGACUCUCUGGUCUGUAACUGACGCUGAGGAGCGAAAGCGUGGGGAGCGAACAGGAUUAGAUACCCCUGUAGUCCCUGUCUCUUAUAA